rnacentral:rRNA from 1 species
AGGGUUUGAUCCUGGCUCAGAACGAACGUUGGCGGCGUGGAUUAGGCAUGCAAGUCGAACGAAUCCCCCUGGGCAACUGGGGGGGGAAGUGGCGAAAGGGGCAGUAAGGCAUGGGUAACCUACCCCGGGGACUGGGAUAGCCUUUCUAACGAGAGGGUAAUACCGGGCGAUGUAGCGAGGGGGCAUCUCCUUGCUACGAGAUGAAUUUCGCCUCGGGAGGGGCUCAUGUAGUAUUAGCUAGUUGGCGGGGUGACGGCCCACCAAGGCAAAGAUGCUUAGCGGGUGUGAGAGCACGACCCGCGCCACUGGCACUGAGACACUGGCCAGACUCCUACGGGAGGCUGCAGUCGAGGAUCUUCGGCAAUGGGCGCAAGCCUGACCGAGCGACGCCGCGUGGACGAUGAAGGCCUUCGGGUUGUAAAGUCCUUUAGUGGGGGAGAAAAGCCGAAAGGUUUGAUCUAUCCCAAGAAUAAGCACGGGCUAAGUUCGUGCCAGCAGCCGCGGUAAGACGAACCGUGCGAACGUUGUUCGGAAUCACUGGGCUUAAAGGGCGCGUAGGCGGCUUCGCAAGUCCGGGGUGAAAGCCCCCAGCUCAACUGGGGAAGUGCCUUGGAAACUGCGGAGCUCGAGGGGGAGAGGGGUCGUGGGAACUUCCGGUGGAGCGGUGAAAUGCGUUGAUAUCGGAAGGAACGCCGGUGGCGAAAGCGCACGACUGGGUCCCUACUGACGCUGAGGCGCGAAAGCCAGGGGAGCAAACGGGAUUAGAUACCCCGGUAGUCCUGGCCCUAAACGAUGGGUACUAGAUUGUGGGCUUACAUGGGUUCACAGUCGAAGCAAAAGUGGUAAGUACCCCGCCUGGGGAGUAUGGUCGCAAGGCUGAAACUCAAAGGAAUUGACGGGGGCUCACACAAGCGGUGGAGCAUGUGGCUUAAUUCGAGGCUACGCGAAGAACCUUAUCCUGGGCUUGACAUGUUCGAAAGAGGUAGGAAGUAGCGGGGCGGAAACGUCCCGGCAACGGUAUCCAGUCCGGAACCUACCACAGGUGCUGCAUGGCUGUCGUCAGCUCGUGUCGUGAGAUGUCGGGUUAAGUCCCAUAACGAGCGAAACCCUUGCCUCUAGUUGCCAGCGGGUCAAGCCGGGGACUCUGGAGGGACUGCCGGUGUUAAACCGGAGGAAGGUGGGGAUGACGUCAAGUCCUCAUGGCC